rnacentral:rRNA from 1 species
CCUACGGGAGGCUGCAGUGGGGAAUAUUGGACAAUGGGGGCAACCCUGAUCCAGCCAUGCCGCGUGUGUGAAGAAGGCCCUCGGGUUGUAAAGCACUUUCAGUGAGGAAGAACGCCUGGUGGUUAAUACCCAUCAGGAAAGACAUCACUCACAGAAGAAGCACCGGCUAACUCCGUGCCAGCAGCCGCGGUAAUACGGAGGGUGCGAGCGUUAAUCGGAAUUACUGGGCGUAAAGCGCGCGUAGGUGGCUUGAUAAGCCGGUUGUGAAAGCCCCGGGCUCAACCUGGGAACGGCAUCCGGAACUGUCAAGCUAGAGGGCAGGAGAGGAAGGUAGAAUGCCCGGGGUAGGGGUGAAAUGCGUAGAGAUCGGGAGGAAUACCAGUGGCGAAGGCGGCCUUCUGGACUGACACUGACACUGAGGUGCGAAAGCGUGGGUAGCAAACAGGAUUAGAUACCCUAGUAGUC